rnacentral:tRNA from 1 species
GUGGGUAGAGCUCAGUGGUAGAGCACAUGCUUAGCAUGCAUGAGGUCCUGGGUUCAAUCCCCAGUACCUCUU